UGUUCUGCCGUCCGAUAGUGGUGGCGAUCUGGAUGGAUUCAAGUGAGGCUGGCUUUGUGUGUCUGCCCAUGGCGUGACAAGGACCAAGGAGCAAUAACUUACCGCUAAAGUUGGUGACAGCUAGCCGAGGUGACAGCAACUGCGGUCGACAGCUACCUGACCGCGCUGCCAAAAUAGCUGACAGUUCCCGUAACAUCUGACCGCCGUCGAGACAUCCCACUGCCAACAUCGCGGCCGAGUGGCCCCGUGACGGCUCACUGUCCCGCCAGAGGAGGCGGCACAUCAGAGGACGAAGGACGCCAGCCAACUGCCCCACUGCGCACCGGCUAUAAUGAGUGUCCUGUUCGCCCA